GAUGAACGCUGGCGGCGUGCCUAAUACAUGCAAGUCGGGCGAACAGACGAGGAGCUUGCUCCUCUGACGUUAGCGGCGGACGGGUGAGUAACACGUGGAUAACCUACCUAUAAGACUGGGAUAACUUCGGGAAACCGGAGCUAAUACCGGAUAAUAUAUUGAACCGCAUGGUUCAAUAGUGAAAGACGGUUUUGCUGUCACUUAUAGAUGGAUCCGCGCCGCAUUAGCUAGUUGGUAAGGUAACAGCUUACCAAGGCAACGAUGCGUAGCCGACCUGAGAGGGUGAUCGGCCACACUGGAACUGAGACACGGUCCAGACUCCUACGGGAGGCAGCAGUAGGGAAUCUUCCGCAAUGGGCGAAAGCCUGACGGAGCAACGCCGCGUGAGUGAUGAAGGUCUUCGGAUUGUAAAACUCUGUUAUUAGGGAAGAACAAAUGUGUAAGUAACUAUGCACGUCUUGACGGUACCUAAUCAGAAAGCCACGGCUAACUACGUG
rnacentral:rRNA from 1 species